GGGGGGUGCUAGAACAUGCCUUCCUCCUUGGUUGGAGCAGACAUCUUUCGCCCAGGCUAGCCUGCCACCCUGUGGGGUUCUGGGACUUUGUUGGCUUUAGUACUACAGCCAAUGUCAAUUCAAUAUGUGGAGCUCUGAAGACUUCUUACCUGCUCACAGUGGGAAAGAGAUAUCAUCCAUGUAAAUCAAGAACUACUUGGCUGUUUCCUAGGCAACUGUGGAAUAAUUAAAAUGAAGAAGGGCUGAUGUGCCAGGCAUAAGGGAUUUUUAUCAGAUGAAAAUGAAAUGCUCUCUUCUGUCUUGAAGAACCAGAUGUGUAUCUGCCAGCAAACGUAAGAAAGGGGAAAUGGAGACUGGGCCACAUGAAAGAAAGAACAUCAUGAAAAAAUUCAAAAGAUGUCUGUGAUCAUGCAAGUAUGACUAGCCGAAGAGAGGUGGCUCUAGCGUGCAUGCUGCAUUUUGGAUUUGUUUUGUGCCUGCGAGGAGUUGCAUUCCUGACCACUGGAGAAGAACACAACUUUGGAUCUGCUGGCUCUCCUGGUGAC